rnacentral:rRNA from 1 species
AUUGAACGCUUGCGGCAGGCCUAACACAUGCAAGUCGAACGAGUGGCGGACGGGUGAGUAAUGUCUGGGAAACUGCCUGAUGGAGGGGGCUAACUGCUGGAAACGUUAGCUAAUACCGCAUACAAUCGGAUGUGCCCAGAUGGGAUUAGCUAAUAGGUGGGGUAAAGGCUCACCUAGGCGACGAUCCGUAGCUGGUCUGAGAGGCUGACCGGCCACACUGGAACUGGGACACUGUCCAGACUCUGACGGAAGGCAGCAGUGGGGAAUCUUGCCCAAUGGGCGCAAGCCUGAUGCAGCCAUGCCGCGUGUGUGAAGAAGGCCUUCUGGUUGGAAAGUACUGUCAGCGGGGAGGCGGGACCGGCAGAAGAAGCACCGGCUAACUCCGUGCCAGCAGCCGCGGUAAUUC